rnacentral:lncRNA from 1 species
GUGAGAAGCCCCAGCCGCUGCCCUCCAACUUCAGAAGAAAACAAGCAUCAAGAUUAGACUGCGGCUCUGUCACACAGCUAGGCUGGGAGGGAGAGCGGGAGAGAUCGAGGGAGCGCAUCUGACGCAGGGAACACUCGAUAAUUCCCAUGCGUCCCCGAUCAUCAUACCCUAGUUUCAUGUCUGCGCCAUGAUGGCAAGGGAGUUAUGCAGUUCUUCUCCCGCUUUUCCUCUCUUACAACAUUAGGCAAGAAGAGAAUCUUCAAACUGUGAGAGCAAAGCGCGCAGUGUAGUUUGUUACGUAACGCGCGCACCCACUGAUCUAUUUUUAAUGCGCCCUGGCUCCCAACUGUUCUGCACGAGUAGCUCUUGCGUAGGUAUAUUUGCCUUUGCAGACUGUGUGUGAGCAAAGGGGUGGUGGUGACCAUUGAACAUAUGGAUGCUGUGUGUAUUCGAUAUUCUGGAGAUGCUGCCUGUAUUAUUGCGUUUGGAAUAAAGCACAGAUACAAACUGACAGGGGAGGGAGAGAGCCCCUCAACAUGAAAACAACAAAAAUGGCAAUCGCACAACCCCAAAUCCUCCCCAUGCCGCCAUCCCAGAUUUUUUUCCAGUAGAGAUGAGAGGCGGUCUUUUAUGAAAAACACCCUAUUUGUCUGCCAGGCGAGGUGACGUAAGGUCGUGUUGUUCUGUUCGGUGGCACUACAUUGUACCGGUGACGCAGCUUUUCCAGGAAUGGAUGAUCGAGAGAGGGUUGAUGGGAUGCUUUAGACACCUACUAACUCAAUGAACCCCCCUUAAUACUGAACCACAAUGGACCGAUGGAGGGACGGAUGGAAGGAUGGUCGGAUGGAUGUACCAUUUGGAAUUGGUCCACAGACGACGCAAUCGCAAUCACACUGCACACUGCCCUAACCCAUCAAGAGGAAUACCUAUGUAAGAAUGCUGUUCAUUGAUUACAGCUCAGCAUUUAACACCAUAGUACCCUCCAAACUCGUCAUUAAGCUCGAGACCCUGGGUCUCGACCCCGCCCUGUGCAACUGGGUCCUGGACUUCCUGACGGGCCGCCCCCAGGUGAUGAAGGUAGGUAACAACAUCUCCACCAUGCUGUUCCUCAACACCGGGG